AAUUCGCUCAACACCUACUACCUCACACUAAAAUAAAUAUGGGUCAUAUAAAAAAAAAUAUCACCUAACAAUAAUCUUUAUUUCUACGGACAUUUGAACCAUUUUUUCACUUCAUUGACCAUUAAGCACACAAUUGGGUGCAAGACAUUCUUCAUUAUCUUGCAUUGAUAGUCUUUUCUUUGAAAAAAUAAUAUCCUCUUGGAGCCUAUGUCAAAGUUUCACAUAGUUUCGAACUCUCUUUUUAUGACUAACUAUUAACAAAUCGUAGCAGUAAGGGCCUCCUAACAUGUGAUGGAGUGUUACGUAUUCUUUCAUCCUUCAUCUUCAACCAAAAAUCUCAAAUUCGAGUCUCCCUUGUUACCCGACAGCAGGUGGAAAACAAAAAAAGGAAUAACGAAAAAUAACAGGUCAAAUAUCACUCAAUUAAAAUCAAUCCAUUUCAACAGUUCAGCUUCAGCAAGUCUGUCCAGUCGUUAACUUGUAUUAACAUGUGACAACCAAAAAUAUAUAUAAAAAUUUAUCAGUACUCACACCAAACUAGCUAAUAUGUAACAUGUUAUUUUCAUAGAAUCCUUCAUCAGUAACCAUGACCUAUUGACGAAUUCAUCAAAACAUGCAGUAACUUUGAAAAAUAUGACAAGCACCAUUAAUAUUUUUUUAAGAGUCCAAGCAACAUAGACGGUCGAAUAAUGGGAAGGAAGACCCCAACCAAAGCACAGAUGAUGGCCGACAGUUUCAUGCAGAUGUUGAAGUAGAAUAUAAGCUCUCCACAAGACAACACUAUUAUAUUGUAUAGAAAAAUGAUUUUUUCAUUUUGCAUUGAAGUUAGUGCAGUGUGAGGGCAUGAGGGUUGGAGUAGAGUUGGAGAAGGGGACCACUCAACCUUUUACUUGAACCUUCACCUUCACCUUCACCAAUCAAAUGAAGCACAAACCCAAUGGAAUACUAUUCUCAACAUUAGCCACAAAAUUCUUCUGGGCAACCUGUUAUCUUAUUAUUUUUUUUAAAAAUAUCUGUUACAAAUGAGAAAUGCCAUUAUUAAACAGGACAUAAGAAAUCAAAUGAAUACCACCACUAACUGCAGCUUUUUACUCCUCCCAGAGCCUGAAUAUUUGCUCCCGGGCCCUAGUGACUCAAACUCACAACUGGUUAGAGGUGGUAGGUCAAAGGUGGAGAGUGCCCUCACAUUUCUUCCUCAAAAGGCAAUAUGACAGGGCAAUGAAUCAUUCAUAAGCAAAUAGGUUCAAAACUCAGCAGAGAAAAAAAAACACUAGAUGAUUCUUCCCAUUACCUGAUACCUGUUGUUGAUAGGACAUGGUAGGUAUUACGUGGACUUAAUUGAGGUGCACGAAAGCUAGCCUGAACACCACGGUCAUAAAAAUAAAUUAAUUAAAAGAACACCAACUAGGCUUGGCUUCUUGUGGGAAGAGGAGGGAUCAAUAAUGCAUCAUCAUAUUAUAAUAGAGAGAUGCAAAUGAAUAAAAAAAAUGAAGGCAUGAAGAUUGCAUGUAAAAAGGGGCAGGGGACCACCCUACAGACAGAAUCUAUUGGUACUUCCUAGACAAAUAAUGCCAGACACAACCUUAUAAUACACUAUAUAUAAAAAUUAUAAUGAUGGAAAAUUAUCUCAAAACUAAAGCUAAUUUCCUAAAUCAGGAUUUAAACCACGAGGUCCCCCCCUCCAUAAUUGGCAAAAUCAAUUGGUACCAGUCAUAUUGUAUAUAGCAUGACCUAGCCAUUUACAAAUAAAUUAAUAUAGUACUAAGUGUUGAAGGAAAGGGACUAAAGCAUUUCAUUAAUGCAAAAAAUAUAACAUAAAAAUUGUACUUGCCACAAGCUACUUGCCAUAUAAAAAAUUGAACCAAUGUAUAUCAAUGAGGUCAUCCUCAUUGCCCUAGAAAAAGGGAGAAAACAUGGUGCUCAUCACGUUUUGCUGUCUUCACAGCCAUGCAAAUAUAUUUCAAAAAUUUAAAGCCAAGAAACACAUCUACUUCAAACUUCAACUGAUAUAUGUGUUGCAAAAGAAAGAAAUAUAUCAAUUCGUAAAUACUAAUUCCCCAAAACAGAUUUCAAGUAUGAAGUUACAGUUCGCAAGAGCCAUGUAAAACAUCUCUCGAAAAAGUCUUAAUUUGUGCCAUAGGUAUGUGUGACAUCAAGCAUAUCUCUGUAGAGGAAAAAGGAGAUUCCUAUAGCAAGUAAGUAGGUGGAUCUGUGUUGCAUUCCUCAUCAGUUUAGACAGAACAUGUAAAACAUAUUGCAAGGAGCGGAUAUAAUGUUACAGCAAACAAAUGAUUAUAGAUGUUCGGAAUAACUGUAUAAGACAUGAAACUAUAGCCAUAUGAAGAUUCUAACAAUUGGGAUUAACCGAUGGUGGUAGAGACCAGGACGAACAGACAACUGCCUAGUGAUCGAAAUGGCUACACAGAACUCUUGGAAUCAUAUGACGAAGUAGAUUUCUAAAGCAUAUACAUGUACUACAAACAAGAUGCUAGAGAAAACUAUUGACUGAUUCAAACAGAAGUGAUUGAGUGCUUAAAAUUGUCCAGACAACUGAAAGAUCUUAUCCUGGAAAUCACCACAAUACGUUAAACAGAAUUAUUAUUGAAAAUUAGGUUUUGAAAAUGAAGAGAAUGGGAAAAAGGAGCUCCCUUCAGUCCAAGCAAGGAAAGAGAGGGAUAGAAAACUAUCUCCCGCAUCAUUCACUCAAUCACAGUAGCACAAAACCUAUCCUUUCUACUGAGCGGUUGGAUGAAUGAGUCGGCAGCUAAUUCAACCCCAUUUCUCCUCCUUGAGUGGGCUGAAGGAAGCUCUCUUGGACCAUUCCUCAAUUCACAAAACUUUUUACAAUUAACUUCUUCAACUGAACAGCCUUAGUAAAUCAUCAAAUCAUACAUUUUUGAUAAGAAUAUAUGAGAUUCCGAGGAAUAAAUAUACUAACCUCAAUCUACCAAUAUUACCUUUCCACAGCUUACAUUCAACUCCCCCAAAAAAAUUAGGAUAUGUAACCAGUCAGUAAUAGUUCACAACAGUUCACCAUUAUAUCUCAGAAUCAAAUUGCAGAGAGUAAAGGCAGCCUAAAAUGAAAUACGAAUACAAUAGACACAACCAAAAUCAUAGCUCAAGGGUACAUCUAUUUUAAUUUUUUGUGAAAGAAAAAGCCCCUUGUCCCCUCAUCUCUUUAAGAAAAAAAAAAACUUUUAUGGUCACUGUUGAUAGCAUACCAAAGUCUCAUCUGAAACCUGAGAAAGAUAGAUACUUUUUAUUUGACAAACAAAAAUUAAUCAACAGCAAAAUCCAUGGCAAACUUUCACAUAUAGAAAAAGUUCACUAUACAAACACAAUCUGUUAACUAAGCAGAGUCAACUCUUACCACAAACCCUAUAAUCAAUCAAAAAACACAAAGAUCUCUAAUCUACCAUUCUAAUGAGUCUAUAUACAAGGAACUGUUCAGUGAUGAAAAUCGAAGAAAUACUUAUCUGUUAAGUGAUGAAAAUCGGCCGAAUAGACACAGUAUAUGUGAAACCCUAACUCUUCAAUACUAUUCGGUACGGGGAAAACGCUUUGGCAGAGCAAUAAAUAGAGAGAAGAAACAUGGUUUUGGAUGAAUGAAAAAACAAAGAAAUUCAGAAGGAAAGGGAAAUGAGAUAAGGAAAUUUAAGAAAUUGAAAGGAAUAUAAAGGGGUAAGUGAUGGUUGCACUAAAUACGGAGAGUGUAUAAAUACACAAAGAUGAAAAUGAAAAUGAAAAGUCGCUUUCGCCAUGAGAGUGAGGUAUGAGAAAGCGACAUUGUCAACAAAAUCUUUCACAUUUACAACAACAUUAGAAAAUAUAUAACACCAAAAAAAAAAGAAAAAGACUAGUAAUCUUUAUUAGGAAUUAGUAUUAUUAUUAUCAGAAAGAGAGAGAACAUAAUGAAAAAAGUGAAAAAAAGAUGGAAGAUGUGGGGGAUCAUUUCAUCUGCAAAAUCAUACCUUCUGGAGCGCAUUAACAAGUGAG
rnacentral:lncRNA from 1 species